rnacentral:misc_RNA from 1 species
GCUGAAAUUAAAAUUAAAAUAAGAAGAACAAACAGGGACAUUCAUAAAUGUAUAUUUAGAUGAAAUUUAGACACCAAGUGCAAUGGUGAAAUUAUUUGGAAAAAACAUAAGGGAAGACAGCAGCAAUCAUCAAGAGAAUGGCCAAAUGAAGUCCAAAUGCAAUCAGCAAGCCUUCAUUCAAUGGAUUGCUCCAGUUGCUUCUGCUGCUUCUCCUCAUCUGUCAUGAAAGCUGUGAUUGGGAAAGACUUUCCAAUCCCCAUUGGAGUCUUGAAGUGUAUUUUCUUGCUUGCUGGGUCUUCAAUACUCAUUUCAAUUAUUGGCACCCAUAAAAACAUCUGCUUGCUCUUAAUACCAGUCAUUUUCUUCAUCUUGAACUUCUCUACAUAGGCAGUCACCUCAAUGGCAUAGCUUACCUUAGUAUUGGUUCCAACAAAGAAAUGCUCACUGGGUGCCUUUUGCUUCAUCCACACAAAUCCAGUUUCUCUAACUCUCCCACAUUCUUCAAGAUCUUGCAGGGGAAGAACGCCCUUGGGAAAUCCUAGCUCUUCAAGAAGUUCUAUGGAGUGGCGAUGGCACUCUUCAGCCCCAUAAACAAUUUCUGCCCCUGCACGCUCAUUUUCAAUUGACUUGCUACCUGACAUUUUGAAGUAAUCCUGAUACUUUGUUUUUUUUAAUUCUUGGAUGAUGAAGAGAAAUGCUGUUGGCUUCAAAUAUAUGAAGAGCAAAGAGUUUCUGAUGGUUGGCUGGAGGUUGAGCAGAAUAAAGGUGUUUGAUAAGGUGGUUCACCUGCCUGCUAGUGAAUGGCUGGGUUGGUAGUUUUGGUAGUUUGGUCACCAAUUUCCGUGUAAACUGGGGAAGAGAGAAUUUCAGGAAAGCAUUUUGAGUAUUUGCACACAAGAGAAUCAUCAUUGCUUGGGGAAAUCAGAACUUGCAGCGGUCUCCAAUUUCUGAUCGUCUCCCGGGUUGGCUUGAAUUGAAGCGCUCUAAGGUCUAUCAAACUGGUAGGAUCAGUUUAUCGACUUGGAUCCAGAAGGUUUUCAACAAUUAUAAGACAAGCUUAAAUUGUCUGAUGCUAUUAGCAGCAGGCAUUUCCAUCGCCUAAGCUUGACACCAAAUCUGGGAAAAACUUGCCAGUGGAAGAAACGUCUGUGCUAGUAAAAAUGUUCAAUUAAAAAACACAAUUAUGUUCAAGGUGAUGUACAAAAGACAUUUUCACCUUUUCAAUUUGUCAUCUCUUAAGAAUUUCUUUCUUCCAUGAUUUCUUUUUUUGGUUCUUCAUGUGUACAUAAGAGUUGAAUGAACUACAACAAUGUAUGAUUAGCUUGUUAGUUGCUGCUCAAUCCUAUUGAUCUUUUCUCUGAAUCAAAAAUAAGAAACUCAAACAAAGUGCUCCGUUGGGUAUUCAUGCUCAUAUCCGUUGUAGUCAUAAUAUAAUCGCUCUCCCUUCUUUAUAUCUCUAUUUGCAAUCAACAAAACUCGACAACCUCCAUUAACAUUGAAUCUCACACAUUUAAGGUUCUGUUUCUUUUUUCCAUCCGGUGAAUGAUUGUUGAUUCCAUUGAUAAAGCGAGCUAUGUUUCCAUGUUUAUCUGGACAUAUGACAAGGCUUUGUGCAGGAUUAGCAGCACAAAGCAAUGUCAUCAUGCUAUCCCCAUCAUCAUUUUCCCGGCUUUUCAAGUAAUCAACAUCUCCAACAUACUCCGUGAUGAUUGUUAAAUCUUUAAUAAACUUAUCUGCCUCUACAGUGAACCCUUCCUGUGGAUCAAAAACUACCAUGAGCGGU